UGUUUGUCUAGAUGACGAUUGCUUUCACAUCUAUCAUGGCCAUUUUCAUUAUUGAAAGGGUUGAUGAUAGGGCGGGAACCAAGUCCCUUGCACCCCUUGUUUUUGCUGGUGCACUGAGCAUCCUUUACUGGAGGUUCUUUGAUGAUCUUCGCCCAUAUGCAGUAAUUCAGUUUGUUCCAUGCGUUGCAAUACCUGUGAUGGCGAUUGUUAUUCCACCGAUGUAUACACAUUCAAGCUACUGGCUGUGGGCAGCAGGAUUUUACCUCCUUGCCAAAGUAGAAGAGGCUGCAGACAAACCUAUUUAUAGGUGGACCCAUCAGAUUGUUAGUGGUCAUACUCUUAAGCAUCUAUGCGCGGCGAUGGUACCUGUUUUCUUGACUCUCAUGCUUGCAAAAAGGACAAUUGAACCAGAAAGAGUAAGUUUACUCCAGAUGUGGAAGAUCAGUUGGGUUAGCAUGAGAGAGCGCCGUUCCAGAGAUAACAAUACCGUGGACGUGUCAACUACGAUCAUGCCGCAGUUCAAACUACACCUGAGCAGUAGACAUCUUGCAAGGAAUAAAAAUGUCAUCGAUCUGAAUACCGGGAGCUCCGUCAGGAUGGCUGGCUCUUGUCGCUGCCAAUAAAAGUGUGACGACCAUGUAAAAGGAGCUUCAUCAACCUGUAGUAGUAAUUGACAACUGUGUAACUGAUCUUCAUCAAAUCUCAUAAAUGACUAUCGAUCGGGAGCUCCGUCAUGAUGGUUGGGUGUCGUCGCUGCCAAUGGAAGUCGAUGAUGAUGUAAAUAAAUGACCUUCAUCAACAACUUCUUUGGGUGAUAACUGUGAAAAUUAUCUUUUAUCGAAUCUCA